CUAGGUGGAGAAGACAGGGCUCCAAAUGGACUUCCAGUCCCAUCCACGUCACAGAGGCAAAUUGUCAGAGACAAAGACCUAAGCCGGUCCUUUUCCAGGAGUAAAUGACCAUCGUGCGCCCAUGGGAAGAGUGCUGCAUCCACGGAGGACAUGGGCCAACAGUGCUCUCAAAUGGGUUUCAUGAAAGCAUCUGUGACUCAUCCCUGUUCAAGAAUGUUUUCAUUACGAUUCAGCAGAAGCGAUGUGCCAGCUUUUGAUAAUGUGGCUACUUAAAACAACUGAAAUAACACAUGUGGUCCCAUUGUGGCCACAUUAGAUUUCUACUGGCCAGCGUGGGACUAGACUCAGGCUAAGGUCCUCCCAACUCAGCUCCAGGUUUAUGAGCCGUAACUCAGCAGAAGCCUAGCAUGAGAACAACUCAUCUGAAGCUCCAACAUUUGGGGAAUGCAACCUUUCGACAGACAUUUGCUGAAUGGAUAGGAGACUCCUGAAAGCAGAAUUCUGCACAUUCUGUGGACCAGCCCUGACUACGGAGAGCAGGUGUUAGCCAGUAUCCAUGCGCAGUGCCUCUUAGUCUUACCUGUCUGCUGCCUUACGCAAGCAUGGAGCUUAAUAUGCUAGCUGUGUUCUCCUAACCUCAGAUAUCUGUAAAACCAGCCACAGUAAGAUAACAUGGUAGAGCACAAAAUGCUUAGAAGAGAUUUAUUUGAAGCAAUGCUUCCCAGAAGUUUUUCAAUGCAGCUUAUGGCGAGAAACACAUUUUACAUCUCUACUCAGUACGCAGCCACUCAUACUCAACUGAAACAUCUUCUGAAACAAUAUUUCACUUCACUCUCUGCAAUACAGAAAAUACCAGAUCGUAUUGUAUGUUAUUUCAUUGUUUUAAAAUCCUGAGCCUAGCUUGCUAAUAGAUUACAACUCAGUUUGAAAAGCACAGGCUAAGGGGCUUCAAAUAGGGGUGACACAUUGAACACACACAUUUAUCACCUCUCCCUUCACAGAUCUCAUUAAAAUGAUAAUAAAGGAACAAAAUGGCAGAAAUCCACAAGGACAAACAGCAAACAAGAGGGACAUCAGCAGAUAGGCAACCUCAACAAGUAUAUCACAAUGAGUGACACACCCCCUAUAACAGCCAAUUUUGAUGGUCCUCCCAUAGCUCUUGCCUUAUUCUUUGUAAUAGGAUUCAGAUUGUUUAAAAUCCCCAUAUUCUACCGCAAAGUCAUGUUAUCAGGAAAGACCAACCCUAACCCCAGUUCCAUGGAGUAAAGAUUAAUUAAUCUAAACUCUAUUAAUUGUAUUCCCUUUAUCUGGUGAUAAGUUUAAGAGCUGAUCCCUUAAUUUUGGACAUGGGAGCACAAGAGAAACUCACUCAAGACUGGGAUUAAUUGUAGGAAAUAUUUCACAGUUUCCACAAGUCAGAAGAGCUAAUCCCAACCCUCUGUAUCUGGAACAUACACUGCUGCCAUUUUCUGCCCAUGAAGGGAAAUACCCAAGGUACUCUGGCAGAACAGAUUUUUGAAAACUUGAGUCCCUGAUGAUGUAAGUCAGCCACAAUGUUAAUCAACCCCAGAGCCACCUUAUUUCUAGACUUAUUAUGCAAGAUAAAAAAAAUCAACUUGCAGUAUGAA
rnacentral:lncRNA from 1 species